AUGAUGUUACUUAGGAGGAGUCGAUAUAGGAUGUGUCGAAUUAGGCAACCUUCUUGGUAUGACCCAAUUACUCGAGAACAAACCCUGAACAACAAGAUACGAGUAAGCGAUACAGAAUGCAUUUUCCAACUACAGAUGGAUAGGCGUUGUUUCAGAGUGUUAUGUUCUUUGGUAAGAAAAAUAGGUGGGUUGAAGGAUACUAGGCAUAUGAGCGUGGAAGAAACGGUUGCCAUGUUUCUUCACAUACUUGCACAUGAUGAGAAAAACCGAGCAAUCCAUCAUGAUUUUCAGCGUUCACCUGAAGUAGUAAGUCAGAAAUUCCAUGAAGUACUAGGCGCAGUUUUAAAACUCUGGAAAGUGUUGCUUAAGAAGCCUCGACCAAUUCCAGCCAAUUGCGCUCAUGGAAGGUGGAAGUACUUUAAGAAUUGUUUAGGUGCCUUAGAUGGGACAUAUAUAGAAGUUUAUGUGCCCAAAACUGACAAACUGAGAUUCCGUUCAAGAAAGAAUGAAGUUGCAACAAAUGUUCUUGGCGUAUGUGCGCCAGACAUGCAAUUCAUUUAUGUAUAUCCGGGUUGGGAAGGAUCUGCGGCUGAUGGGAGGGUGCUUCGAGAUGCUUUAUCAAGAUCAAAUGGCCUUAAGAUUCCUCGGGGGUGCUAUUAUCUAGUUGAUGCUGGGUACAAGAACUGUGAAGGAUUUCUUGCUCCAUACAGAGGGCAACGGUAUCAUCUAAAUGAUUGGAAAAACCCCCCAACAAAAAAGAGGAAUUGUUUAACAUGCUGCAUUCAUCAGCAAGAAAUGUGA
rnacentral:rRNA from 1 species